GAUGAACGCUGGCGGCGUGCCUAAUACAUGCAAGUCGAGCGAACAGAUGAGGAGCUUGCUCCUCUGACGUUAGCGGCGGACGGGUGAGUAACACGUGGAUAACCUACCUAUAAGACUGGGAUAACUUCGGGAAACCGGAGCUAAUACCGGAUAAUAUAUUGAACCGCAUGGUUCAAUAGUGAAAGACGGUUUUGCUGUCACUUAUAGAUGGAUCCGCGCCGCAUUAGCUAGUUGGUAGGGUAACGGCUUACCAGGGCAACGAUGCGUAGCCGACCUGAGAGGGUGAUCGGCCCCUCUGGAGCUGAGACGCGGCCCAGACUCCUACGGGAGGCAGCAGUAGGGAAUCGUCCGCAAUGGGCGAAAGCCUGACGGAGCAACGCCGCGUGGGUGAUGAAGGUCUUCGGAUCGUAAAACGCUGUUAUUAGGGAAGAACAAAUGUGUAAGUAACGAUGCACGUCUUGACGGUACCGAAGCAGAAAGCCACGGCUAACUACGU
rnacentral:rRNA from 1 species